rnacentral:misc_RNA from 1 species
GAUGAAGAACGUAGCGAAAUGCGAUACUUGGUGUGAAUUGCAGAAUCCCGUGAACCAUCGAGUCUUUGAACGCAAGUUGCGCCCGAAGCCAUCAGGUUGAGGGCACGUCUGCCUGGGCGUCACAUAUCGUUGCCCAAUGCCUAUUGCAGUGCAAUAGGAAUUUCUAGGGCGAAUGAUGGCUUCCCGUGAGCGUUGUUGCCUCGCGGUUGGUUGAAAAUCGAGUCCUUGGUAGGGUGUGCCAUGGUAGAUGGUGGUCGAGUUAGAACGAUACCGAUCAUGUGCAUGCUCCCCAAAAUAUGGCCUCUAUGACCCACACGCGUCUUUUGACGCUCAUGACGAGACCUCAGGUCAGGCGGGGCUACCCGCUGAAUUUAAGCAUAUCAAAAAGCGGAGGA